rnacentral:rRNA from 1 species
UACAGAGGGGGCUAGCGUUGUUCGGAAUUACUGGGCGUAAAGGGCGCGUAGGUGGCCUGUUAAGUCGAACGUGAAAUCCCCGGGCUCAACCCGGGAACUGCGUCCGAGACUGGCAGGCUCGAAUCCGGGAGAGGGAUGUGGAAUUCCAGGUGUAGCGGUGAAAUGCGUAGAUAUCUGGAGGAACACCGGUGGCGAAGGCGGCAUCCUGGACCGGUAUUGACGCUGAGGCGCGAAAGCUAGGGGAGCAAGCGGG